GAAUAUGAUGAUAUGCUGAUGUCGCCCCAGUCUUAGAUCCAUUCUUUGGGAUUGGACAAUGGUGAAUGACAUUUUUAUCUGAUUC